UCGAAUUAUAUUAUUUGUAUACCUAUUUGUUUUAUUUUUGUGACCUUAGAGGCUUUUUGUCUUGUUGUGUUUUGUUAUUUGUUUAUAAAGAGCCAAAAAAUGAAAUUUCGGUUUUGUGGGGAUGGAGAUUGUCCGGAUUGGAUACUGGCUGAAAUCAUAUCAACACUCUCUGUACUGGACUCUAGGAAAUUCAUGGACUUAGCCUCGAUUGUGGCUAAGAAAAUAAUUGGCGAACAAUUUGAGGAAGCUGGUAUUCGAUCGAUAACAUCGACCUUAGAAGAUGAUGGAAAAUCAGCUGUAGCUUGUAUAAAUUACUUGCUCAUAAGUGCAGCGAGGCAUAGUACAGAUGGAUCGGUAUUUAAUGAAGAACUGCAGCAGUUGGGACUUCCAAAAGACCAUGCAGCUGCAAUGUGUCGUGUUCUGUCAGACUAUUCGGCGCCUAUUAGAAAGAAGCUUAUGGGCCUUUCUCUCAAAAUCAAUGAGCUGGGUUCAGUGAAAUUCAAUAAACCACAAAACACAAUUGACUGUGUUCAACUUGAAUUGGAAGUUCUGCAAGAACUUAAUGGAGCAGGUCUUCCGAAGGAUGUAAUUCAUAAAGUAAAUAUUGAUUCGUCCAAUGUUAGAGCUUUAUUGAAGGAUAUGAAAGAAGCUAGAGAAAUUAUACGAGAAUAUGAUUUUGAAGGAAAAUACUACAAAGAUAAUAUAUGUUAGUUAAUAAGUUACAUUUAGACCAAAUUAUAAUCAAAAAUAAGACAACAUUCAAGCUUUCCAAUGAGAUUUAUUUAAAGAAAAAAAGAGAAGACGCUUCAAGAAUAUUUUUAUCAAUUGAAGAUAAAAUAUGUAAGAAACGGAAAUGAAAAUUCACACUGGUCGAAGAAAAUAACA